CCUACGGGUGGCAGCAGUGAGGAAUAUUGGUCAAUGGACGCAAGUCUGAACCAGCCAUGCCGCGUGCAGGAAGACGGCUCUAUGAGUUGUAAACUGCUUUUGUACGAGGGUAAACGCAGAUACGCGUAUCUGUCUGAAAGUAUCGUACGAAUAAGGAUCGGCUAACUCCGUGCCAGCAGCCGCGGUAAUACGGAGGAUUCAAGCGUUAUCCGGAUUUAUUGGGUUUAAAGGGUGCGUAGGGGGUCGGAUAAGUUAGAGGUGAAAUCCCGAGGCUCAACUUCGGAAUUGCCUCUGAUACUGUUCGGCGAGAGAGUAGUUGCGGUAGGCGGAAUGUAUGGGGUAGCGGUGAAAUGCUUAGAGAUCAUACAGAACACCGAUUGCGAAGGCAGCUUACCAAGCUACUUCUGACGUUGAGGCACGAAAGCGUGGGGAGCAAACAGGAUUAGAUACCCCAGUAGUC
rnacentral:rRNA from 1 species